rnacentral:rRNA from 1 species
UACGAGGGGGGCAAGCGUUGUUCGGAAUUAUUGGGCGUAAAGGGCGCGUAGGCGGUGCGGUAAGUCACCUGUGAAACCUCUAGGCUCAACCUAGAGCCUGCAGGCGAAACUGCCGUGCUUGAGGGUGGGAGAGGUGCGUGGAAUUCCCGGUGUAGCGGUGAAAUGCGUAGAUAUCGUAAGGAAGACCAGUGGCGAAGGCGGGUCUCUGGACAGUUCCUGACGCUGAGGCACGAAGGCUAGGGGAGCAAACGGG